GACUGUCUGUUAAAAGGAGGAAAAUGGAAAUUUAAAAAUCCAAGCCUCCUCUCUGCCAGUGUUAUAUUAAUAGCAGUGUCAACUUUUUCAGAAAAUACAUCUUCAGUCAUUCUUGAGUCAAAUACACUACCUUCAUGAUUAAUACCUGAAUGAAAUGAUAAGGGAACUGGAAUGACAAACUAGUUACCAACACAAUCCAAGUCAUCUGCUGAUCUUUGACAAGGCUUACUAGAAACUGUUUCAGGGUCAUUUGCAUCUGUCCUCAUCCAUGAAACUCCCUGAACUGUAUUUGAAUAAAUAUUGUUCCUUUAACACAAUAGUUCUGAAGAGAGGAUUAAGCUACUUGCAUACCAAGCCUAUGCAUGCCUACUCAGAAGCAAGUACAUAAUUUGUUGCUAUACCACUAUGCUCAUAGUGCAAGCUGGAUAAGUAGUCAGAAGAAAAACUGAAAGCCCCACAGCACCAAUUCACACCAAUGACAAUUUAAGGAUAAACUUCAAGAAUACCCACUCAAAUAAUGAGCUGAAUAUUCAGAAGGGUAUUGCCCUAAGUGUUUACUCCACUGCACAAAACUAAAUGCUGGCAUGCCCCAUUGCUGGGGCUGUAAAGAUGCUACUGGUUCAACUGCUUUGUCUUCUGAAGUCUUUCCUCCCAGGAACUGGACACUACAGGAAUGGAUGAGUGGCUCAGGUAUAGAUUUUCUGGUUGAAAGGAAGUUUUGACAUUCUUUCUCUGGCCCACAUGGAUGUCUGCAUGACAGUGCAGCUUAAUUCUGGGUGUGCUGAAGCUUAAAAUGUAGCUUCCGAUUUAUAAUAGCGACAGGGCAUGCAGCAAAUGUCAACAAAUCCCUUGGCACCUGGGAAUGUAGGAAAUGUGAAAGAUCAGCUCACAAAAUCCAGACCCCAUAGUGUCACAAGCAGAGAGAAGGGAACACUCAAUAAAGAUGCUGACACAGAGAGCUGGGAAUAUAGCAUGUUGAAUUUUAAGUGUUACAUAUAAUCCUCUAUUAGCCUGAAUAAGAAUCAGCUUUCCUUCAUUUCUAAGGGGCAAGACUGCAUGUAACUAUCAUUUAAGGAUAUUUGUUUCACCCCAGAUACUGAACAGGCAAAAAGGCAAUGAAUGUGGCAAGCCCAACAUCAGUUAAAAUCAUGAUAGGAAGAUUCAUUUUUCAAGGUUUAAAUAACUUGUCAGGAAAAGUCCAUUUAAGCAUUGUUUUCUAUGAAAAGCUCAUUCUUCUGUUUUGUUAUAAUCUUAAUAAUACUUGUCCGUCACAACUCAGAGAUCAAUGUACAGUAGCUUUAAGCAAUUAUUUAGUAUUUAUUGACCUAUUUGUAUACCACCCAAAACUUUAGUCUCUGGGCAGUUUACAAUAAAAUAAUACAAAUUACAA